rnacentral:rRNA from 1 species
AGUGAACGCUGGCGGUAGGCCUAACACAUGCAAGUCGAACGGCAGCACAGUAAGAGCUUGCUCUUACGGGUGGCGAGUGGCGGACGGGUGAGGAAUACAUCGGAAUCUACUUUUUCGUGGGGGAUAACGUAGGGAAACUUACGCUAAUACCGCAUACGACCUACGGGUGAAAGCAGGGGAUCUUCGGACCUUGCGCGAUUGAAUGAGCCGAUGUCGGAUUAGCUAGUUGGCGGGGUAAAGGCCCACCAAGGCGACGAUCCGUAGCUGGUCUGAGAGGAUGAUCAGCCACACUGGAACUGAGACACGGUCCAGACUCCUACGGGAGGCAGCAGUGGGGAAUAUGGGACAAUGGGCGCAAGCCUGAUCCAGCCAUACCGCGUGGGUGAAGAAGGCCUUCGGGUUGUAAAGCCCUUUUGUUGGGAAAGAAAAGCAGCAGGUUAAUACCCCGCUGUUCUGACGGUACCCAAAGAAUAAGCAGCGGCUAACUUCGUG